rnacentral:rRNA from 1 species
UAUUUGGUAGCGGCGAGCGACCAGGAAUUAGCCCAACGUUGAAUCCGUUGCCCUAUCGGUAGUGGAAAUGUAACGUAUAGGUUGUGUCUUGGUUUUUGUCGAUGGCUCUAAGUCUGCUUGAAUGCGGAAAUACUAUAGAGGGUGUUAGUCCCGUAGGAGUCGUUGGCUGAGACUUUGAUGCUUCCAAUGAGUCGGAUUGUUUGAGAAUGCAGUCCAAAUUGGGAGGUAGAUUCCUUCUAAGGCUAAAUACUUGUCUGAGUCCGAUAGUAAACAAGUACCGUGAGGGAAAGUUGAAAAGUACUUUGAAGAGAGAGUUAAAUAGUGCGUGAAAUCACAUAGGGGAAUGCGAGUAGAAGCGAAGGUUGGCGUGUGGUAAUCAGCUUUUUUCGGGCGGCUCGGCUGACAACGGCAGACUUAACGGUUUCCAUGAUUGGCUGGUUUUGCUGCUUGAGAGAAGUGCACUUGCUGCAUGCUGAAUCUGCGAUCGGUAAAUAGGCUUUGCUGCUAGUCGGGAAGGUGAUCAUCUCUUCUGAUUUGGUUUUAUAGACCGGCAAUGCGUCUUAGCUGAAUAUCGGUAAUGACUGGCGUCCGAUUCGCUGGCGAUUGUAAGUUCGGUGCUGGCUGAUAAUGAUUUCAUUGUUAGUAGGUUGCUGGGCCUGCAGUUGUCGGUGAUAGGUGCUUUAAAGUCGCAGUGCAUAUGUAGCCGUCUACUCGUCCCGUCUUGAAACACGGACCAAGGAGUUUAAUUUGUAUGCGAGUCAAAGGGCAGUACGAAACCCCAGGGCGCAAUUAAUGUAAAGGCUAGCUUUAGUUAGCUUAAAUGCGAUCCCGAUACGGUUCGGCCGGUCGGGCGUAGCAUUGGCCUGCUUAAAGGUGCUUGCAUCUGAGCAGAGCUCGAGCAUACAGGUUGAGACCCGAAAGAUGGUGACCUAUGACUGAGCAGGUUGAAGCCAGACGAAAGUCUGGUGGAGGACCGAAGCAGUUCUGACGUGCAAAUCGAUUGUCAGACUUGGUUAUAGGGGCGAAAGACUAAUCGAACCAUCUAGUAGCUGGUUCCCUCCGAAGUUUCCCUCAGGAUAGCAGACGUUUACGAAUAGUUAUAUCCGGUAAAGCGAAUGAUUAGAAGUAUUGGGGGCGCAAUGCCUUCAACUUAUUCUCAAACUUUAAAUGGGUAUGCGUGCGUCUUUCUUAAUUGAAGAUGCGCAGCUAAUAUUAAUGUCUAGUGGGCCAUUUUUGGUAAGCAGAACUGGCGAUGUGGGAUGAACCAAACAUCUAGUUAAGGUGCCUAAUAUUCGCUCAUGAGAAACCAAAAAAGGUGUUGGUUGAUAAAGACAGCAGGACGGUGGACAUGGAAGUCGUCAUCCGCUAAGGAGUGUGUAACAACUCACCUGCCGAAUCAACUAGCCCUGAAAAUGGAUGGCGCUGGAGCGAGUAACCUAUACUGGAUCGAUACGGCAAGAUCUUUCGGGAUCGAGUACGCUGUGUCGUGUAGGAGGGUGCUGUGGUUGCAUAGAAGUAUUGAGCGUGAGCUUGUAUGGAGCGGCCACGGGUACAGAUCUUGGUUGUAGUAGCAAUAUCAAGGAAUCCCG